rnacentral:tRNA from 1 species
UCCCUGGUGGUCCGUGGUGAAGACUCUUCGCUUCCAAUGCAGGGGGCCCAGGGUUCGAUCCCUGGUCAGGGAA